UCAGCGGUGUGUCACCAAGGGGGAUACGUGCUGCCACCACCUUUGCUUCUUUUUAACAGGUGCACAGCAUAAAGACAGCCUGGCUACACGAACACCGCCUGCGUUUUGUUCAAGUCGCCUUGAUCCGUCUGCCAGGAGUUUGUCAACAAUGAAUGUGAAAGAGCAUCCGAUUCUCUUAAUAACGAGCUAAGGACCGACAUAAAGGAGGUGGAGAGAGAAAGAAGAUGAAUAUAAUCAUGCCAGCAAAUGAAUAUCUGUUACCAUCAAGUGUGACAAGGCGACAGGACGUGGACAUCGUGGCAGUUUGCGGCAAUACGAUCCCCCUACUCUCACACAAACACACAAAGGUGUAGGAAGAUGCUCGGCUUUCAGGUAGGUGAGGGAAACAACCUUCCUACUGACAGUGAACGAUGUUCAAAUUCUUCCCUCCUCAUAUCUUUUCUGAGGGGGUGGCUGCCUCACCUGGCUCAUAUGACACUGAAAAUGAGGAAAGGAGAAGAGUGAGCGAGCAACAGUCGCACAGAGCGAGUGAGUGAGAGAGCUGAAUGGCGGAUCGCACCACAACAUUUAUCUCCCACCUCUGUCAACCAUGUGCAAAACAAUCAGCAACAAUGAACAAUGAGAUAAAUACAACCGACAUGACAGCAGAUGGCCAAUGGAUCAACAUGGCGCUGCAAGUGUCGAGCAGGGCCGUCCCAUAACAAAGCUAUUUAAUAAUCGCCUGUGCUUUUCACUGCCAACAUUAACAACAGUUAAUUUUUUUAUAUAUAAACAAGUCUUAUAAGAUCCAUACGAACAUGCAUCACAUUAAGAAUUAAGGCCUGGGGUCGGGGAGACAGCCCACCAAAGGCAUUAAACAGCGCCGACAACGAAGCUUGAAGCCAUUGAAGUCAACCAUCUACUUGUCUGUCUACUUGUCUGUCUACUUUUACUGCCAAUCUGAUUCUAUUUGACUUACUGAAUGUCACAUGCUACACGAUCCACUUCGCAAACAGAAUAACAAGCAAAGGAAGUUAAUUCUUCUUGAGAAGCCCUGCACACACAGAGCUGAUGGACUCGGGUGAUCGGCAAAUGCCCUUUGAGAUAAGGUCUUCACUCCCUCGACAGGCGGACAAAGACAGGAUCAGGUUGCCACGUAGGCAAGGGGUAUUCUCGGGAUAUUAUUAGCAACGAAGGAAACAGCCUCAUAUCAGAUGAUCUAUCACCUUCUAGUUUUUUUUUCUCUUUUUUUUUGCACUUUACAGCAGAGAGAUUGUGUACUGCAUGGUGGACUUCACGCACGCACGCACACACACCCCGUGCCACGUAAGAAAAGAUUGUUGGAUGAUAGUGGAACAAACAUGGCAGUUUCUGGGUGAAGCCAUGCGAACAAUAGACAGGGUGAAAUUGUUCUUGCUACAAAAUCCUGUUUUGAAAUCCAGCGUUAUCUCCUGAAAUACUUUUGCUGACAAGGAUUCAACUCGACUUAUUUAAUUUGAUUCACCGACACCUCCACCAAGGACUUUUAAAAAAAUGUAAAACUGUUUCGUACUCUUGUUUAAUACCACUUGUCUUAAAUAAAUUGACAAAACGAUUUUUUAUGAAGAGGUUAGGCCCAUUUGCGAUGUCUAUUUUUGGUGCAUAAUGUUCCUAUUGUUAUACAGGUGGACACAGAAAUAUUUCCGGUAAUGAAAGUUUCCUUUUAAUGGUGUUUGCGGAGUUUUGACAGGGUUGUGGACUCAAGCUGAGAUGUUCGUUUGGACCCACAUUUCUUGUAUUUCUCAAACUACCAUUAAACAGCUUGUUUGGGGUGGUUUAUUAAUAUGGGGUGUCCUGUACCUUUUGAUGUUUAGGAUAUGUACUAUGGAGACCUCAGGCUGUGCGAAAUACUUUUUUUCCCCUUUUUUUCUUGCCAGUUAAAAAUCUUGUUGCCACAAGGCCUGGUGAACGAAGAUGUUAAAGUUCGAUAGAUGGUUGAUUCUGUUUUAAAGGCCAGUAUUUCUAGUAUUCUAUUGUUUAAUAUUGUAUUUUUACUUCCAUCUUUUACAAAGUUCAUGGUACGCGUGUUUAAUCUUGCCAUAACUUAUGAACUCAUGUCAACACUGAUAUACUUGUCAUGAAAUAACCAUCUUUCUUAGUAGACUUUAAUAGGAAGAAUUUUUUUUUAGCAUUUAUUUGAUUUUUUCAGAAACUUAUUCCCUCCGUUUGUAGAAAGCAUUUGGUAUUUCUACGCUGACACUUCUAACUCCAUUUUAUACCUGAGAGCUUUGAACAACCCUCAUUUUAGAAACGGAAGUCUUCCACAGACGACUAUAUAACAAUCAUUAAUUAUCUUUUCUUUGAUUUUAACCGUAACCAAUGUAACCGAUGCCAGAAAAAAGGUUGGUCGCAAAAGCGAAAUAAAUAUGACCGGAUGAAAUAGAACUCAAGCUAAAGUAUUAAUUUGUGCAAAUCUCAACAACUUCACGCAUAAAGAGAAACCAAAUACAAAUGAAAGCUGUACAUACGAGACUUUCCCAAACAGCUGUGGUGUCGAAAUGGACGUGACUGGAGGAUCUGACUGUCACAAUGUCCUUUUUUCUGAUAAUGAUAACGAAAGAGGGGGAAAGGUAACAGAUGCUUGAAGUAUGAACAUGCAAGGGACGCUAUCGUUUACCAAAGGGCCGUCACCGAUGGGGAUGGAGUCACACCAUGGCAAGCCAGCCCUGUAAACAGAUGCCACAUGCAGAAAAAAGAACAGCGUGCCCGAGACGAGAGCUGAACCCAGGUCCCGAUGUGAAGGGGGGAAAGAAUCGAUAAAAACUUGUUAUUUAAUCAGUUUGUACCUGAGACAGUCGCUAACAGGUGUUGUAUGCACUUUUUACAUGUAGAGCUCACAGAACACGUGCACGCACACAUGUACAACCCCCAAAAUACAGGGACUAACACGGAAAGAACAUCCGUUGGUACAUGGGACGACAGAUCUUUCCCGAAAACUUUUCUUGAACCACUUCAUCAGUUACAAGAACUGUAUAUCAUUACAAGAACUGUAUAUCAGUUACAUCAAGUCAGUGUGCUCACACAGCAGCGAGAUGUCAAACUGAAAGUCUGGUGAAACCUUUAGUAGACAAGAGAACAAAAUAAUUAUUCUCUUCUUUCUUCUUUCACUGUUCUACCUUUCUCAAUCACACAGUUCAUUUCGGCAUUUGUCUAUCUCAUAUGCAAAUGUAAAAUUUUUCUUGUAUCAAUCGCAUGCCUGUCAAUAACGUGUAUGUAGUCUGAAAAGUAAAUAAUACACACUUAAUCUUCAACGUGACCUCUAGUAUCAACACUUUACUUAACAUUACUAUUGGCUACAACUGUAAAUACAAUAAUAGUGUGUCUUACACCCUUUCCAGCUGCUUGUUGCAGCCAAAUAUACUUACGUAACACCAUUGUAGCGAAUGCACCCGGGAUGUAGAGAAAAGCGUUGUGAUUGUUCAGCAAAAUCUUUUGUUCACAGUGAGUAGUGAAGGCGCUGAAACCUGGGUAAUGUUCUUCUCUUCUGACAAAGGUGACAGAGAACUUUGUAUUUUGAUAUUAAAAAAUUCUCAGAAAAGUCAACUUGUUAUCUCCUGGAAGGGUUAGUUGGAAGUUCGUCGACAUGUACUCCUGUAGACCAUGAAAAACAAUGUCUUCUGUCGUCUGACUCUGACAAAACACAUCUACUGGCAUCGGUGAUGUCUAGCCAGGGGCAAAUGUCUGUAACCUCAGAGUUUAUGUGCAACCUCGCGGGUUAGACAACAGCUACCACAGGUAGGGAGUGAGAUGCUCCUUGAAAGUGAGAGGGUUGAGAAGGCCCGCAUCAGUUAAGGGGAAGAUGGUGUUGUGAAAUGGCUUUAGGAGAAAGGCCAUCGUUGAGCUUUGAGAAAAAAAAAAAAAAAAGAAACAAACAAGUGUCUGUAUAUACUCUUCAAAAAUAUUGGCACACAUUGUGCUUAUUUUCAAACCUUAAGUUUUGAACCUCAGCGCUGUAAGAAUGGGUAGUGAUUUUGUUUGUUUGUUUUUCAUUUUUGGUUUCUUUUUUAACGGGUAGCUGGGUACUUUAUAACAGCCGCAGUGCAGUAAUGAAGCGCAAAAUAAUGUUUCGGACCUAAUUUCGAGUUAUAUAUGGACAGUCAGACAUUUUCACUCCAGUGCAUACACGUCACAGGGAGGUUGCCAUGGCGUCCGCAGGAGCGACGGUUCGCUACCCGUGUGGCGCAGCGCAUGUCCACCCAACUGUUGAGAAUGGGUAUCUGAUUUUGAGGAGGAUUGUGGUAGGUAAGACAGCGAGGAAGAAGACCAUAAACACCCGACUUGAAAAAUAUCUGGCCUCUCUUAUAACACAUCGCUCUCCAACGACCAAAAGGUUAUGGGUGAAGCGACUUCUUGUGUCAC